UGUAAACAUAACAUAAAAUUUUCAUUACUUUUUGUGCAAUAGUUAACACUUCAUGAACUAAUUAAAACACUGGAUAAUUAACACAAUCCAUAGUUGCUAGCUAUACUAGCUAAUUACAUUGUGUCAAGUAUUAAAAAAACUACAACUCAAUGAUUUAAAGGCCGCCCUAUGUAGGACGAUGAUGAGAUCGCCGGAGCCAAACGGAUUGGCCACCACGGGCGCGCUAGCGCUCAACAAAUCAUCCUCUCACGUGCGUCCCCGUGACAGACGCUUGGCCACCACCCUGCAAUGUGGAAGGAGGCCCGAGGGAGGCUAUUGCUUUUGCGCCACCGUCCUCUACCAUCUCUCCUCACCGACGAGAUCUAUGGCUCCGCCAUUGAUCGGCCGCAGCUACGUCACCGUCCUCCACCAUCUCUCCCCAUCAACGAGAUCUAUGGCUCCACCAUUGACCGGCCGCUGCUGCACCAUCGUCCUCCACCGUCUCUCCCUACCGACGAGAUCUUGGCUCCACCAUCUCUCCCCACCGAACUUGGCGUUGCUCCCUGCUCCUAUCAGGGAAGAUAAAAGGGGAGGGUGAGAGAGAGAGAGAGAAUUGAGAGAGAAAGGGAGACAGAAGGAGGAGAGGAAGGAGCACGGGUAGGGUGGUGCACGCGCGCAACCUCGAUAGCCGUACACGGAGACGAGACGUACCUUGGGCACGGAGACGUGGUGGAUCGGGGCGGAUUUCCUCCUGGAUGUGCUCGAGCCCAACCCCGACGAUGUUCUAGGGCUCCACCACCAACGGGACCUCUGCUGGCCUCCCUUCACGGGCCAUGGAUAGGAUCUAGAGCCCGUGAGAUUUUAGAGAGAGGAGGGAGGGAUCCAGGUUAGGAUUUGACCUAUGGGAGAGAAACAGAAGGGAGCAAGGAGAGUGGUUGCUCCCAAUUGGCAUUGUAUCUCAAGAGAUUGAAGAGGCAUGGGUAAAAUGGUCGAGCGAAAAUUACGCACACGGUCAACACACGGUUAAGCGGCACUCACCGGACGGAAACGUGACGGAAGGGAAAAACCAUAAGAGGAGCAAACAGAUUUGGAGAAAACUGAGGGUUUUCCAAAACUAGGGGCAAACCUGUCGAGUGUGACACAACUAAGGUCAUGGAAUUAAUUAUCCCUUCAUGAAUUAGAGAUAUAAAUUACAGAUUUUCUUUGCUUAGAAUUUUUUUGAGUUCCAUCUAUCCUUGUAAUCAAGUAUACGAGUUAUAUAAUAAGACCG
rnacentral:lncRNA from 1 species